ACAAAAAAACCCUGGAGCUCUCAGUAGAUCCCAACUGAAAACUUUACCAAACUGGGUUUUUCCCCCAGAGACCGGCGCGUGUGGACCGUUGGAGGUGGCUCAUUAAUGUAACGUGAAUAACCCUAACAACAAAAUCAUUCUCCUUUCUUUCCCCUCAGUCAGGUCACCGGUUAGUUAACACGGACACUGCAGUGUCUGGAAAGGGAACAGUGGCCCCAACGAUAUGGUUCUGAGAACCUAGGACCUGCUCACGGCCCUGUGCCCAGUGGGGGCCUCCUUCGUGGGUUCAGAUUCAUGGGUGGAUUUUUAUGUCUCCAACCGCAUGACAUAGCAGCCUGGAGAAAUUUCCUCUUGGUUAAAGCAAGAGACCCUGGUAACACCACCCCACCAGGGUCCCAAGGAUAACGCGGAAAACCUCCCCACCAGAAAUGGUUCGACAAGCUACGAACCAGGCAGUCCCCGGCUCCCAGUCCACCCAGCAUAAGGCGGGUGAGUGGGAAGGAGACGCCGGCACGAAAAACCCCCCUCUGGAGCAAAGACUGAGAAGCACAACCUCCCCUGGUCCAUCCACGCGCGCCAAUCCGAGCGGGAGGAACAGCCAGGACGCCACGGCGCCCCCGUCGGGGUCCUCGCCAGGUGCGUCUCUGCCGCCCCUGCCCCAUGUGGGCGUCAGAGGGCGUGUCGUCCUGGGGUCUCUGUGGCGGUGGCUCCAGGGAUUGCUCUGGGGCUGGACAGUCCCGGGCUCUUGCAGACCAGGCUGUGGUUUCUUUGGCAGAGUGUUUGUUCCAAAACGUGUGGACCUCGGAUCCAUCAGUUGCCCAUCAGCUCUAGCCAUCAAGGUAGUUUCUAACCCUGAAGUGCCUGGCUGUCUUCACUCACUGGCCUGCACGCGGCCCCCCCUGUCUCCUGGCGCGAUGUCCUGGCCACCCUGAGCCUCUGGGGGCCACGGGCUUUGCUGCGAACUUCACACGGCAGUGGGACGGGGCUCGGUUUUCUUUUCUGCUAAGUGUGCUGCUUUGUGGAAAACCAUCCCAGUUCUGGAUGCCGUGGGAGAGCCUAGCAGUUGCUUUUUCAACCCUGCAAGGCUCCAAAUUACCAGGCUCUCGGUCACUUUCGGUGGCAGGCUGCCGGCAGGGAGCAUCUCCAUCAUCACAGGGCGUCCCCUCUUCCCACGCCUUCGCCGGCUGCUCUCUCGUAAAGCUUUGCUAACGGCAGCAAGCAGCAGCUACCACGCUUCUGCGUCAUGGCUCUCUCCUGUCAUUCCCUCCCUCGAUCCGAGCUCAGAACACGGGCCACUUUUCAAAAAACAGUAGGGGACAGCUGUUAGCAACUGCUUCAUUUCUCACGCUGUCACCAGGCCUCUGGCCCACAGUGUUUGAGUCCCUGACACCUGCCAACAUCCACGGAGUCAGUGCCACAUGUCUCUGUUCUGCUACUCACAGCUCACCUCUCUCGGUCCUUUUUUUUCUAUCAGUUAAGAUUAGAUUUGCCUGGAAAAUCCAAAGGAGCAGUGGCUUCAACGGGACUUUUAAAUCUCCCGCAUUCUGAGUCCACAGUAAGGUGGUCCAUGGACAGUCCAGUGGGACUCCAUGGCGGCAGGAACCUACCCGUCUUCUGUCUUGCUGGCGUGCUAUAUAUCAGCGCUAAUGGUGAUGCCCAGGAUGGCUGCCUCAGCGCCAGCCAUCAAAUCCUCAUUCCAACCCAGUAGAAGAAGAAGCGCGGGAACAGACAGACACCUCUGCCCUCAUCAGGGACACUUCCAGGAAGUUGCCUUCUGUUGGCCAGAACUUAGUCGCGUGGUCAUACCUGGCUCAAGGGAGGAUGGAAGGGUCACUUCCAUUGUGGGUGGCAGAAAAGUCAAGUUUCUGUUGAGGAAUGAGAGGUGAUGGAUUGGGGGGCAAUUAGGCUCUGCUUAUGUGGAAAAGUUCAGUAUCAGUGUCUCUCAUAUUCUAGCUCUAGAAUUCGCUAGCCUCCUCCUUCUUCAGGACAGAUUUAUGCCUCUGACAUGCACCUUGCAGAAGAGAUAAUGACCGGACAAGGUGCGCAGUCUUCUGCCCACGCAUCAUUCUUGAGGAUGCUUUUGCUACACCUACUUCACGGGGACAUAAAGUGAGGGUCUCCGGGCUACUGUUUCUGUUGGGGAGGUUUUAACAGCUAGGACGGCUUCGGUGCUCAGUGAAUCACAGAAGUGACCAAAACAAACACCUCCGAUGAGAAGCACCCAUAAAACCAACGAGACUAUUAAUGCAAAUGGAAAACCAAAAUUGAUGAAAUGCAAAAUAUUUAACUUCCCAGACUGCAGCUAGCCUUGGACUACUAAGUCAUUUAGAGGCUAAUGUUCUUAAUAAAAUCACAUUUUCCCUGAAAAUA